rnacentral:rRNA from 1 species
UACGAAGGGUGCAAGCGUUAAUCGGAAUUACUGGGCGUAAAGCGCGCGUAGGCGGUUUGUUAAGUUGGAAGUGAAAGCCCCGGGCUCAACCUGGGAACUGCUUUCAAAACUGGCAAGCUAGAGUAUGGCAGAGGGUGGUGGAAUUUCCUGUGUAGCGGUGAAAUGCGUAGAUAUAGGAAGGAACACCAGUGGCGAAGGCGACCACCUGGGCUAAUACUGACGCUGAGGUGCGAAAGCGUGGGGAGCAAACAGG